rnacentral:misc_RNA from 1 species
GAAAUGCGAUAAUUAAUGUGAAUUGCAGAAUUCAGUGAAUCAUCGAGUCUUUGAACGCACAUUGCGCCCCCUGGUAUUCCGGGGGGCAUGCCUGUCCCAGCGUCAUUGCUGCCCUCAAGCACGGCUUGUGUGUUGGGCUUCCGUCCCUGGCAACGGGGACGGGCCCAAAAGGCAGUGGCGGCACCAUGUCUGGUCCUCGAGCGUAUGGGGCUUUGUCACCCGCUCCCGUAGGUCCAGCUGGCAGCUAGCCUCGCAACCAAUCUUUUUAACCAGGUUGACCUCGGAUCAGGUAGGGAUACCCGCUGAACUUAAGC